rnacentral:rRNA from 1 species
AGAGUUUAAUCAUGGCUCAGGAUGAACGCUAGCUACAGGAUUAACACAUGCAAGUCGAGGGGCAGCAUUUUAGUUUGCUUGCAAACUAAAGAUGGUCGACCGGCGCACGGGUGAGUAACACGUAUCCAACCUGCCGAUAACUCUGGGAUAGCCUUUCGAAAGAAAGAUUAAUACCGGAUGGCAUAGGAUUAUCGCAUGAUAAUCCUAUUAAAGAAUUUCGGUUAUCGAUGGGGAUGCGUUCCAUUAGG